rnacentral:rRNA from 1 species
CCCUUAGAUGUUCUGGGUCGCACGCGCGCUACACUGACGAAUGCAACGAGCUUAUAACCUUGGCCGAAAGGUCUGGGUAAUCUCCAAAUUUCGUCGUGAUGGGGAUAGAUUAUUGCAAUUAUUAAUCUUCAACGAGGAAUGCCUAGUAAGCGCAAGUCAUCAGCUUGCGUUGAUUACGUCCCUGCCCUUUGUACACACCGCCCGUCGCUCCUACCGAUUGAAUGGUCCGGUGAAGCGCUCGGACCGCGGCCUCUUGACGGUUCGCUGUCGAUUGGCUGUGGGAAGUUCGUUAAACCUUAUCAUUUAGAGGAAGGAGAAGUCGUAACA